UACGCAGCUUUAGGGAGGUGCUCUGAGACCCGCAACUACACUCGACUUUAACAGACACAGACGACCCUGAAGAUGGCAAUGUUUUCUUCCAAAUUGUUCUGCACGUUUUUGGCGAGAGCAUGAGGCUGUGCAGCGUCCCCUCCCUGGCGCCCGCCUGUGCCCUGCACAUUGGCCUACACUGCGGUGAUCUCACUUGGCCCCCCCCUGAUUCCCGACAUACAGCAGCGGAAGCUGAGGCUCCGGGGGAACAGCCUCAACUGAUUCUGUCCCUGAACUUCCAUACACAGCCCGGGAGUUGUCUUAGAGUCAUGAUUUAUUUAACUGUUCUUUCAUUUUACAGAACAUAAAAUGUAUUGUUUCCAACUUUUUUCCUAUGGUAAAUAAUGCUAAAGUAAAUAUCUCUGUGCAUGAAACUUUUUGUAUAUGUUGGAAUAUCCUUAAGAUAAGGCCCCAGAACUAAAAGUACCCUGUCAAAGAGUGAGCAUUUCCGGUUCUCCUGCUGUGCUUUGCUGCAACGUUCUCACUCCACAUUCCUGGGGCAGGUAGGGGAGGGCCAGCUGGGUUUGGAUCAUAAUCCUGAAAGACACAAUCCCAAACACCAUAAUCUCGAAUGUUGAAAUCCCUAAAGAUCAAAAUCCCUAAAGUCUAAAAUCUCUGAUAUUUCAGAUGACCACAGUUACAGGGCUGUGUGCACACAAUUAGUAACCAUAGUGAUAUACACGUACACAUUUCUCUUUUGACUUAUUUCUUUAUGGUCUGUCUUCUUAUAACUGCUACACCCAUGCUGCUGUCGUUAGUUUCCUCAGUGUUUAUGCAAAAAUACCUAUGUUAUCAUUGCCUAUUUUAUUGUGUAAAGUGGCCUAUGAAAUGUUCUGUUGUGUUUUUAUGUUUCUCAAAUACAUACCUUUUAAAAAUGUAAAUAAAUAA
rnacentral:lncRNA from 1 species